rnacentral:rRNA from 1 species
CAGUCGCCGCGGGAAUACGUAGGGUGCAAGCGUUAAUCGGAAUUACUGGGCGUAAAGCGUGCGCAGGCGGUUCGUUAAGACAGAUGUGAAAUCCCCGGGCUUAACCUGGGAACUGCAUUUGUGACUGGCGGGCUAGAGUAUGGCAGAGGGGGGUAGAAUUCCACGUGUAGCAGUGAAAUACGUAGAGAUGUGGAGGAAUACCGAUGGCGAAGGCAGCCCCCUGGGCCAAUACUGACGCUCAUGCACGAAAGCGUGGGGAGCAAACAGGAUUAGAUACCCGGGUAGUCCCUGUCUCUUAUAC